UACGUAGGGGGCGAGCGUUGUCCGGAUUUAUUGGGCGUAAAGAGCGUGUAGGCGGCCAGGUAGGUCCGUUGUGAAAACUCGAGGCUCAACCUCGAGACGCCGAUGGAAACCAUCUGGCUAGAGUCCGGAAGAGGAGAGUGGAAUUCCUGGUGUAGCGGUGAAAUGCGCAGAUAUCAGGAAGAACACCCGUGGCUAAGGCGGCUCUCUAGUACGGUACUGACGCUGAGACGCGAAAGCGUGGGGAGCGAACAGG
rnacentral:rRNA from 1 species